UAUGAUACACUUCUCCUAGUACGAAAGGACCGGAGAAGUGAGGCCAAUACCCCAAGCACGCCUCCCCUCUAAGUAGUGAAACCCACUCAACUACCAAGAGAUUAAUUUACCACCAUAAGAGUCCAAGAAAAGGACCUAA
rnacentral:rRNA from 1 species